rnacentral:lncRNA from 1 species
GAUCUUGAUUGUUUCUGAUGUGAAACAACAUUGAUUAUCAGAAUAUCUGCAGGCAUUACGUAGGCCGAAAAACUGCUCAGUUUCCAAGGAGGUCACAUUCUUCAUUGCUUUCUUCAGAUUUGGACAAGGACAAAAAUGAAAAAGAGAGGAACUCUCAGAGGGCAGAAUAAAGAUUCCUGGAGAAUAAUAAACUGUGAAUUCAGUUAUAGAAAGGAGGACCUUGGCUCAAUCAAGGGCACAUUACCAAGCUUCAAGGUGAAACACUCUGCACUUGUGGUGUAGUGGAAGGAACGUUGGACUUGACAGCGGAUAUCCACCUUGGAGUGUUGGAUCAGCUACAUACCUCUGUGUGUGGUGAAUGUAAGUCUUUUUCUAAAUGUUUCCACAUUUUAGACAUUUAAUGAUUAUAUCCAUCAAAUGGCUAUCUUUACCUCAAAUAAUAUUAACCAAUCGUUUAUUACUUGCAUUGUUAGAAAAAUGAGUUAUAGCUUGUAAAUAAAAUUUUAAAACACCAGAAAAAAAAAAAACA